rnacentral:rRNA from 1 species
GCAGGCUCGCGCUUGAAUACAUUAGCAUGGAAUAAUGAAAUAGGACGUUCGAUCCUAUUUUGUUGGUUUCUAGGAUUGACGUAAUGAUUAAUAGGGAUAGUUGGGGGCAUUAGUAUUCAAUUGUCAGAGGUGAAAUUCUUGGAUUUAUUGAAGACUAACUACUGCGGAAGCAUUUGCCAAGGAUGUUUUCAUUAAUCAAGAACGAAAGUUAGGGGAUCGAAGACGAUCAGAUACCGUCGUAGUCUUAACCAUAAACUAUGCCGACUAGGGAUCGGAUGAUGUUAUUUUUAAUGACUCAUUCGGCGCCUUACGGGAAACCAAAGUGUUUGGGUUCCGGGGGGAGUAUGGUCGCAAGGCUGAAACUUAAAGGAAUUGACGGAAGGGCACCACCAGGGGUGGAGCCUGCG